rnacentral:piRNA from 1 species
UGGUCUUCUCAAUUGUAGUAUGAAUACAGA